ACGGCAAUGGUCCAGUGGUAUGAUGCGGGCUUCCCAAGCCUGCGAUCCGGGUUCGAUUCCCGGUUGCCGUA
rnacentral:tRNA from 1 species